UCAAAUUGAAGCAACCUCAGAUGACAUGCAUGAAUCCAGCACACUUCAUUUCCUUUUCCAAAUUCUGGGGGAGCCGCUGGUGCACUGCAUUCAAGACAUUCGACAGGUUUCUACUUCGUUUCAAUGGCUAUACAAAUCUGUGAUGAGGUGGAUCUCUAUGGAUUCUGGCCAUUUUUUUCUCGA